UCAUAAUGUACAACUAGAGUCAGUUCUGGGGAUAGCGAGAUGAACUAUUUGCUUGAAGUCUCCAAUUUUUUAGAAGUUAAUAUACAUACGAAAUUACUAACCAAAUAUUUUGUUAUGCUUUUUAAUAAACGGUCUAAAACCCCUCAAAAUCUCAGUACCGACUAUACAAAUGUAACUAAUGGUGUUUUGCAGGUUUUUAGAUAGAGCUUCACUAAAAACAGGAACAACCGGCCAGUGGGAUCUUUGUACAACCACAGAAGUCGAAGAAACAAAACAAAUGCUAAAUAUGCUACCUACCAUGGGCAUAACUUUUGUCCCAAGCGCUAUGAUCGCUCAAAUUAACACUUUGUUUGUCAAACAAGGAACGACUCUAAACACAAUGAUUGUCGGAAACUUCAGCAUCCCACCAGCGAGUCUCUCCGCCUUUGGGACAGUCUCUUUCCUCGUCUCCAUUGUCAUAUAUGAUCGAGUCUUAGUCAAGAUAGCCCAAAAAUUAACCGGGAAUCCAAGGGGCAUUACUUUGCUUCAACGGAUGGGAAUUGGUCUUAUCUUCUACAUCAUCGUCAUGACCGUCGCAUCUUUCACCGAAAGGUAUUAAGAUUUUAAAUAAAAUAAUUACUUUGCAUAAAUCUUUCAUAAGUAGGGCUUAUAUCAACUGAAUUCACACGGCCUGACCCGAGUUUUAGAAAAUCAUAGACACUUCUAUGUUAAUUUUAAAUCAAAAAAUCUGGACAGUUUGAAGUCAUGCAACCUAUAAUACGUCUUUAAAAUCUAGAAGUGAAGUUAGAUUUAUAUUUUCUUGUAUUGAUAGUGAACUUCACAGUUUCGUACUUGGCAUAUUUGUUACAGGUAUAGACUCAAAGUCGCUGCUGAUCAUGGACUCAUUCACCAAACGGGAGUAAAACUACAACGGGAAGCCCUUUCUUGACGAUGGCUCGAGUCAUUGUGGCUUCAUUUCGGAAAGCUAAAGCACCAACGCCCCGUGACCCAACACGCUUCCACGAACCGUCUUCACUGGAGUAUGAGCGGAAAGGCACCUUUCCGAUCCACUCCACUCAAAGUUUAAGGUAGUGAUUUUAGUAUAUCCUAAGUAUGUCAUAAUGUACAACUAGAGUCAGUUCUGGGGAUAGCGAGAUGAACUAUUUGCUUGAAGUCUCCAAUUUUUUAGAAGUUAAUAUACAUACGAAAUUACUAACCAAAUAUUUUGUUAUGCUUUUUAAUAAACGGUCUAAAACCCCUCAAAAUCUCAGUACCGACUAUACAAAUGUAACUAAUGGUGUUUUGCAGGUUUUUAGAUAGAGCUUCACUAAAAACAGGAACAACCGGCCAGUGGGAUCUUUGUACAACCACAGAAGUCGAAGAAACAAAACAAAUGCUAAAUAUGCUACCUACCAUGGGCAUAACUUUUGUCCCAAGCGCUAUGAUCGCUCAAAUUAACACUUUGUUUGUCAAACAAGGAACGACUCUAAACACAAUGAUUGUCGGAAACUUCAGCAUCCCACCAGCGAGUCUCUCCGCCUUUGGGACAGUCUCUUUCCUCGUCUCCAUUGUCAUAUAUGAUCGAGUCUUAGUCAAGAUAGCCCAAAAAUUAACCGGGAAUCCAAGGGGCAUUACUUUGCUUCAACGGAUGGGAA
rnacentral:lncRNA from 1 species